rnacentral:rRNA from 1 species
ACAGCAGCAGCCGCGGUAAUACGUAGGUCCCGAGCGUUGUCCGGAUUUAUUGGGCGUAAAGCGAGCGCAGGCGGUUAGAUAAGUCUGAAGUUAAAGGCUGUGGCUUAACCAUAGUACGCUUUGGAAACUGUUUAACUUGAGUGCAAGAGGGGAGAGUGGAAUUCCAUGUGUAGCGGUGAAAUGCGUAGAUAUAUGGAGGAACACCGGUGGCGAAAGCGGCUCUCUGGCUUGUAACUGACGCUGAGGCUCGAAAGCGUGGGGAGCAAACAGGAUUAGAUACCCGCGUGGUCCCUGUCUCUUAUACA